UCGGAAUUGCUGGGCGUAAAGCGUGCGUAGGUGGUUGAUUAAGUCUGUCGUGAAAGCCCUGGGCUCAACCUGGGAAUUGCGAGGGAAACUGGUUGACUAGAGUGUGGCAGAGUGUAGUGGAAUUCCUGGUGUAGCAGUGAAAUGCGUAGAGAUCAGGAGGAACAUCCGUGGCGAAGGCGACUGCCUGGGCCAACACUGACACUGAGGCACGAAAGCGUGGGGAGCAAACAGG
rnacentral:rRNA from 1 species